GAGCGCUUGCAGUGGGAAUUGGCAGUUCUCUCGGAGGACACGGACACGCAUACAACUCAUUUACAAGUGGCGCCACUCUGAUGUGGGGACUGCCUGCUUCUCACCCUUUCCUGCCGGCAGAGUAAAAAGAGCCACAACACAAAACGUGCCAUAUGGGACAUCCUUGCUCACAUGUUCCAUGAUGAUGUCAGGAAGAGGAUAAAUAGGACAGGGAUCACUGAGAAAGAAAUCUCUAUGCCAGAUGGCAUCGGAGACGUUGCUCCUGUGCUCCCGUAGGCUCCCGUAGGCUCCUGUAGACUCCGGUCAGCUGAUCAGUGGAACCUCUGAGCAGCAGGGUGUCAUGGUGAUUAAGGAGACCGCCCUUCAAGUGGAGAAUGCUGUGCUCAGGCCCCCGUGUUGGCAAGCAUCUGUGAGCCUCCGCCCGCUCAAGGGAGGUCUGCUCUCUUUGCCACCUGGGGAGGAUUUCCAUCACGGUCUCACAAACUUUGGAGAGAUGAGUGUAUACUCUGAAAUGUACAUUGUGUGAUCUGUAGUGUUUUGGGACACACUGCAUGUAUGGAAAAUCCA